CCUGGUUGAUCCUGCCAGUAGCAUAUGCUGUCUCAAAGAUAAGCCAUGCAGUCUAAGUACACGCGCCGUACAGUGAAACUGCGAAUGGCUCAUAAAUCAGUUAUGGUUCCUUGAUCGCUCAUCCGUACUGGAUAACUGUGGCAAUCUAGAGCUAAUACAUGCAAACGACGCUGACCCUCCGGUAUGCGUGCAUUAUCAGACCCAAAACCCAUGCGGGCGUCCUCUCGGGGCGCCCCGCCGCUUGGUGACUCUAGAUAACCUCGAGCCGAUCGCUGGCCCUCCGUGGCGCGACGUCUCAUCGAAUGUCUGCCCUAUCAACUUCGAUGGUACUUAUUGCCUACCAUGGUGACCACGGUAACGGGAAUCAGGUCGAUCCGGAGAGGGAGCCUGAGAAACGGCUACCACAUCCAAGGAAGCAGCAGCGCGCAAAUACCCACUCCCGACUCGGGAGUAGUGACGAAAAUAACAAUACAGGACUCUUCGAGCCCUGUAAUGGAAUGAGUACACUUAAAUCCUUAACGAGAUCCAUUGGAGGCAAGUCUGUGCCAGCAGCCGCGUAAUCCAGCUCCAAUAGCGUAUCUAAAGUUGCUGCAGUUAAAAAGCUCGAGUUGAUCUCGGAUCGAGCUGACGGUCCGCCGCGAGCGAGCUACCGUCUGUCCCAGCCCCUGCCUCCGCGCCCCCUCGAUGCUCUAGCUGAGUGUCCCGCGGGUCCGAAGCGUUACUUGAAAAAAUAGAGUGUUCAAAGCAGCCCGGUCGCCUGAAUACCGCAGCUAGGAAUAAUGGAAUAGGACUCCGGUUCAUUUGGGUUUCUCUCUGAACUGGGCCAUGAUAAGAGGACGGCCGGGCAUCGUAUGUGCCGCUAGAGGAAAUCUUGGACCGGCGCAAGACGGACGAAAGCGAAAGCAUUGCCAAAAUGUUCAUAAUCAAGAACGAAAGUCGGAGUUCGAAGACGAUCAAUACCGUCGUAGUCCGACCAUAAACGAUGCCAACUACGAUCCGCGCGUAUCCCAUGACCCGCCGGCAGCGUCCGGAAACCAAAGUCUUGGUCCGGGGAGUAUGUUGCAAAGCUGAAACUAAAGGAAUGACGGAAGGGCACCACCAGAGUGGAGCCUGCGCUUAAUUGACUCAACACGGAAACCUCACCCGCCCGGACACGAAAGGAUGACAGAUGAUAGCUCUUCCGAUUCUGGGGUGGUGCAUGGCCGUCUUAGUUGUGGAGCGAUUGUCUGUAAUUCCGAUAACGAACGAGACUCCGACAUGCAACUAUUACUCGACCCCGUGCGUCCGAGUCCAACUUCUAGAGGACAAGUGCGUUCAGCCACACGAAUGAGCAAUAACAGGUCUGUGAUGCCCUAGAUUCCGGGCUGCACGCGCCCACACUGAGGGAUCAGCGUGUCACCCUCGCCGAGAGCGUGGUAACCCGUGAACCCACUCGUGAUAGGAUGGGAUGCAAUAUUCCCAUGAACGAGAAUCCCAGUAAGCGCGGUCAUAAGCUCGCGUGAUUAAGUCCCUGCCCUUGUACACACCGCCCGUCGCUACUACCGAUGGAUGGUUAGUGAGUCCUCGGAUCGGCCCCGCCGGGUCGUCACGGCCCUGCGGAGCGCCGAGAAACGAUCAAACUGACUAUCUAGAGGAAGUAAAAGUCGUAACAAGGUUCCGUAGUGAACCUGCGAAGA
rnacentral:rRNA from 1 species